rnacentral:lncRNA from 1 species
GAAGCAGAGAGAAAAAAAAAUUACAACUUAAAAAAAAAUCGCAUAUUUUAUGAUCAAUUAUAAGAGAAAAUUAAUUUAGUUUUUCUUUUCUUUCCUUUUAAUCGAUUUCACAUAGAAAAUGAAAAAAUUGUAGAACUAAUCUACAUAAAAAAAUUGAUCAACGAAUGCGAUCCAAAACACACGCAUCACAAGUAUGAUCAUUAGGCGAAAACAAGCACACAUGCUCUGAUACCAAUUGGUGGAAAUAUUAGGCAGCGGAAACUUACAAACCGGAUAGCCAACGUAUUCGGGAACCGGAAUCGGAUCGGAUUGCCUGUUUUACAAGCCUUCUUGGAUCAUUCUUGUCUCGAUGCUUCUGGGUCUCCCACGUUUCUCGCCUUCUCCCACGCGUACGCCUUACGUCACGGAUCGGAUGCGAAUCUGAUGCGACAGAUGCCAAUCGAAGAGGGCUACCAAAGUCCUCUUCUAUGUCCACACUCCAAAACCCCGAAAACGUAGGUGGAAAUCCGAGAGAGGAAGAAGAAAGAGAAGAAUGAAGAUUUAUCGUGGAUUCUUUCGAAUUAGAUCGUAUUCGAUAGUCACUUUUUAGGAGAGAAAAAGGGGACGUAUUUAUAGAAUAAUGGAACCCCUAAAUAUCCUGAAUCUCAUAGAGAGAUUAGGAUAAGGAUUAGGAUUGGGAUAUCCAUAAUAGAUAUCCACUAGAAGAUAUAUUUCUUAACUAAUAAGAAACAUAUAAUUUAUUCUUAUCCUUAACUUAUUAGGAUAAAUCUCAAUCCACAUCUUAAGUGGAUCAGGUUAAAUUAAGAUCCGCCAAUGUGGACACACCACAUGGCAACAGGAAUAAUAUAUAUAUGAGAUAUAAUAAAGCUAAACCUCUUACCCAACUAUAAUAUUUUGGACGGUGGUUAGACCCAAGAGGUUAAGAGGGUUAAAUAUGCUAGGUUAGAAUAGUUUUAAGAUAGGUGACCUCCUGAGAAGCAGGGCACCAUAAUUGGUAUCAAAGCCAAUCACCAGCUAGAAGUGUA